UGGGGAAUAUUGGACAAUGGGCGCAAGCCUGAUCCAGCCAUGCCGCGUGAGUGAUGAAGGCCUUAGGGUUGUAAAGCUCUUUUGUCCGGGAAGAUAAUGACUGUACCGGAAGAAUAAGCCCCGGCUAACUUCGUGCCAGCAGCCGCGGUAAUACGAAGGGGGCUAGCGUUGCUCGGAAUCACUGGGCGGAAAGGGCGCGUAGGCGGACUCUUAAGUCGGGGGUGAAAGCCCAGGGCUCAACCCUGGAAUAGCCUUCGAUACUGAGAGUCUUGAGUUCGGAAGAGGUUGGUGGAAUUGCGAGUGUAGAGGUGAAAUUCGUAGAUAUUCGCAAGAACACCAGUGGCGAAGGCGGCCAACUGGUCCGAUACUGACGCUGAGGCGCGAAAGCGUGGGGAGCAAACAGG
rnacentral:rRNA from 1 species